UCUAGCAUAACCAGUAUUAGAGGCACUGCCUGCCCAGUGACAACAGUUAAACGGCCGCGGUAUCCUGACCGUGCAAAGGUAGCAUAAUCAUUUGUUCUCUAAAUAAGGACUUGUAUGAACGGCAACACGAGGGCUUAACUGUCUCUUUCUUCCAAUCAGUGAAAUUGACCUUCCCGUGAAGAGGCGGGAAUACCUAAAUAAGACGAGAAGACCCUAUGGAGCUUUAAUUAACUCAUCUAAUAGAACAAUACUUAAUCACCAAGAGACAACAAUACUUCUAACUAGGUGAGCAAUUUCAGUUGGGGUGACUUCGGAGAACAAGAAAUCCUCCGAGCGAUUUAUAAAGAUUAGACUCACAAGUCAAAUCACACUAUCGUUUAUUGAUCCAAAGCUCUUGAUCAACGGAACAAGUUACCCUAGGGAUAACAGCGCAAUCCUAUUCUAGAGUCCAUAUCGACAAUAGGGUUUACGACCUCGAUGUUGGAUCAGGACAUCCUAAUGGUGCAGCCGCUAUUAAAGGUUCGUUUGUUCAACGAUUAAAGUCCUA
rnacentral:rRNA from 1 species